UGAAAUCUGGCCCUUGGGUCCGAGUUGUAAUUUGUAGAGGAUGCUUUUGGUGAGGUGCCUUCCGAGUUCCCUGGAACGGGACGCCAUAGAGGGUGAGAGCCCCGUCUGGUUGGACACCGAGCCUCUGUAAAGCUCCUUCGACGAGUCGAGUAGUUUGGGAAUGCUGCUCUAAAUGGGAGGUAUAUGUCUUCUAAAGCUAAAUAUCGGCCAGAGACCGAUAGCGCACAAGUAGAGUGAUCGAAAGAUGAAAAGCACUUUGAAAAGAGGGUUAAAUAGUACGUGAAAUUGUUGAAAGGGAAGCGCUUAUGACCAGACUUGAGCCCGGUUAAUCAUCCAGCCUUCUGGCUGGUGCACUUGGCCGGCUCAGGCCAGCAUCAGUUCGGCGCGGGGGAUAAAGACUUCGGGAAUGUGGCUCCUCCGGGAGUGUUAUAGCCCGCUGUGUAAUACCCUGUACUGGACUGAGGUUCGCGCAUCUGCAAGGAU
rnacentral:rRNA from 2 species